GACGUAGGGCGCGAGCGUUGUCCGGAUUUAUUGGGCGUAAAGAGCUCGUAGGCGGCUUGUCGCGUCGACUGUGAAAUCCCGCGGCUCAACUGCGGGUCUGCAGUCGAUACGGGCAGGCUAGAGUUCGGUAGGGGAGACUGGAAUUCCUGGUGUAGCGGUGAAAUGCGCAGAUAUCAGGAGGAACACCGAUGGCGAAGGCAGGUCUCUGGGCCGAUACUGACGUGAGGAGCGAAAGCGUGGGGGAGCGAACAGG
rnacentral:rRNA from 1 species